CCUUGUGCCUGAAAGGGCGACGGUGGAUAGCCGGAGCGAGAAGUCAGCAGAGGCCGUAGUAGCUGCCGGUACGGGGCGAAGGGC
rnacentral:ncRNA from 1 species